rnacentral:rRNA from 1 species
GACGAACGCUGGCGGCGUGCCUAAUACAUGCAAGUCGAGCGAACUUGCGGGAGCUUGCUCCCAAAAGUUAGCGGCGGACGGGUGAGUAACACGUGGGCAACCUGCCUGUAAGACUGGGAUAACUUCGGGAAACCGGAGCUAAUACCGGAUAAUUCUUUUCUGCUCAUGCAGGAAAGCUGAAAGAUGGUUUCGGCUAUCACUUACAGAUGGGCCCGCGGCGCAUUAGCUAGUUGGUGAGGUAACGGCUCACCAAGGCAACGAUGCGUAGCCGACCUGAGAGGGUGAUCGGCCACACUGGGACUGAGACACGGCCCAGACUCCUACGGGAGGCAGCAGUAGGGAAUCUUCCGCAAUGGACGAAAGUCUGACGGAGCAACGCCGCGUGAGUGAUGAAGGUUUUCGGAUCGUAAAACUCUGUUGUUAGGGAAGAACAAGUAUCGGAGUAACUGCCGGUACCUUGACGGUACCUAACCAGAAAGCCACGGCUAACUACGUGCCAGCCGCCGCGGUAAAAC